CCUACGAGGGGCAGCAGUGAGGAAUAUUGGUCAAUGGACGAGAGUCUGAACCAGCCAAGUAGCGUGAAGGAUGACUGCCCUAUGGGUUGUAAACUUCUUUUAUAUGGGAAUAAAAUGUUCCCCGUGUGGGAUUGUGUAUGUACCAUAUGAAUAAAGAUCGGCUAACUACGUGCCAGCAGCCGCGGUAAUACGGAGGAUCCGAGCGUGAUACGGAUUUAUUGGGUUUAAAGGGAGCGUAGGUGGAUUGUUAAGUCAGUUGUGAAAGUUUGCGGCUCAACCGUAAAAUUGCAUUUGAGACUGGCAGUCUUGAGUACAGUAGAGGUGGGCGGAAUUCGUGGUGUAGCGGUGAAAUGCUUAGAUAUCACGAAGAACUCCGAUUGCGAAGGCAGCUCACUGGACUGCAACUGACACUGAGGCUCGAAAGUGUGGGUAUCAAACAGGAUUAGAUACCCCUGUAGUC
rnacentral:rRNA from 1 species